rnacentral:rRNA from 1 species
UACGUAGGGUGCGAGCGUUAAUCGGAAUUACUGGGCGUAAAGCGCGCGCAGGCGGUCCUUUAAGUCUGAUGUGAAAUCUCGCGGCUCAACCGCGAGCGGUCAUUGGAAACUGGGGGACUUGAGUGCAGAAGAGGAAAGUGGAAUUCCACGUGUAGCGGUGAAAUGCGUAGAGAUGUGGAGGAACACCAGUGGCGAAGGCGACUUUCUGGUCUGUAACUGACGCUGAGGCGCGAAAGCGUGGGGAGCAAACAGG